rnacentral:rRNA from 1 species
CCUACGGGCGGCAGCAGUGAGGAAUAUUGGUCAAUGGACGCAAGUCUGAACCAGCCAUGCCGCGUGCAGGAUGACGGCCCUACGAGUUGUAAACUGCUUUUGUACGAGGGUAAACGGAGGCACGCGUACCUUUUUGAAAGUAUCUUAUGAAUAAGGAUCGGCUAACUCCGUGCCAGCAGCCGCGGUAAUACGGAGGAUUCAAGCGUUAUCCGGAUUUAUUGGGUUUAAAGGGUGCGUAGGCGGUUGGAUAAGUUAGGGGUGAAAUCCCGCGGCUCAACUUCGGAAUUGCAUCUGAUACUGUUAGGCUUGAGAGUAGUUGCGGUAGGCGGAAUUUAUGGUGUAGCGGUGAAAUGCUUAGAGAUCAUGCAGAACACCGAUUGCGAAGGCAGCUUACCAAGCUACUUCUGACGUUGAGGCACGAAAGCGUGGGGAGCAAACAGGAUUAGAUACCCGGGUAGUC